AGUGAACGCUGGCGGCGUGCUUAACACAUGCAAGUCGAACGGAUCAAAGUAGCUUGCUAUUUUGGUUAGGGGCGCACGGGUGAGUAAUGUAUAGCUAACCUGCCCUUUAGUGGGGGACAACAGUUGGAAACGACUGCUAAUACCCCAUACUCCUUCUCGCCAAAAGGUGAGUCGGGAAAGAUUUAUUGCUAAAGGAUGGGGCUUUAUGGUAUCAGCUAGUUGGUGAGGUAAUGGCUCACCAAGGCUAUGACGCCUACCUGGUCUGAAAGUAUGAUCAGGCACACUGGAACUGAGACACGGUCCAGACUCCUACGGGAGGCAGCAGUGGGGAAUAUUGCACAAUGGAGGAAACUCUGAUGCAGCAACGCCGCGUGGAGGAUGACGCAUUUCGGUGUGUAAACUCCUUUUAUAAGGGAAGAUAAUGACGGUACCUUAUGAAUAAGCACCGGCUAACUCCGUGCCAGCAGCCGCGGUAA
rnacentral:rRNA from 1 species